AUUGAACGCUGGCGGCAUGCCUUACACAUGCAAGUCGAACGGCAGCACGGGUGCCUGCACCUGGUGGCGAGUGGCGCACGGGUGAGUAAUACAUCGGAACAUGUCCUGUAGUGGGGGAUAGCCCGGCGAAAGCCGGAUUAAUACCGCAUACGAUCCACGGAUGAAAGCGGGGGACCUUCGGGCCUCGCGCUAUAGGGUUGGCCGAUGGCUGAUUAGCUAGUUGGUGGGGUAAAGGCCUACCAAGGCGACGAUCAGUAGCUGGUCUGAGAGGACGACCAGCCACACUGGAACUGAGACACGGCCCAGACUCCUACGGGAGGCAGCAGUGGGGAAUUUUGGACAAUGGGCGAAAGCCUGAUCCAGCAAUGCCGCGUGUGUGAAGAAGGCCUUCGGGUUGUAAAGCACUUUUGUCCGGAAAGAAAUCCUUGACUCUAAUACAGUCGGGGGAUGACGGUACCGGAAGAAUAAGCACCGGCUAACUACGUG
rnacentral:rRNA from 1 species